rnacentral:rRNA from 1 species
CGGUCCCUCGGGCGCAGCAGUGGGGAAUAUUGCACAAUGGGGGAAACCCUGAUGCAGCAACGCCGCGUGAAGGAAGACGGUUUUCGGAUUGUAAACUUCUGUUCUUAGUGAAGAAUAAUGACGGUAGCUAAGGAGCAAGCCACGGCUAACUACGUGCCAGCAGCCGCGGUAGUACGUAGGGGGCAAGCGUUAUCCGGAUUUACUGGGUGUAAAGGGAGCGUAGACGGCGCGGCAAGUCUGAAGUGAAAGGCAGGGGCUUAACCCCUGAACUGCUUUGGAAACUGCCAUGCUAGAGUGCUGGAGAG